UUGGCAGUUCUUGUGAACAAUUUUCAAGUACUGUGUAUUCCUUCCCCAUCUGGCAGGUCCAGCAGGACCAAGGUUUAAAAAAAAAACACUCUUACAUGUGUCAUACCUUUCCUACUAGAUUAUCAGCCCCUUGGGGCAGGGAUUUUGGCUAAUUUAUGCAUACAUUCAAUAAAUGUUUAUUUUCUAGAUGUCAGCUGGGCCUACUCACUUACUGCCUGAAUCAAGUUUAUAAUCUAGAAAGUGGAGAAAAACCAGAAAAUCAAAAUACAAUGAGAUGAGAGUGCUUUGUUUUCCUCAGUCUCUGUGACUCUGGCCCUUUUUUCCACCCACAAAUGCUUCAUCCCUUGCUUGGAUGAUGUAGAAAGGUUAUCAGAAGCCCUGAAGUUCAACAUGCUGAUUUGCAAUCACUCACUCUGGAGGAAUUCAACUGCCAUGUCAGGAGGACACUCAAGUAGUUCUUGAAGAUGUAUAAGGGACGAGGAAAUGAUACCUCCUGCAACAACCAAAAUUAACUUGCCAGCCAUGUGGGUCCAAAUAGCUGGCUUAUAUAAAUGUUUCCACAGUAAUCAGGCUUUGACCUUUCCCUGAAUGGAUUUGCCACCAGAAUAAGUCCCUGGGCAACUGAGAAAGAGACACUGUAUCUCAAAACUGAAGAGGAACAACUUAGAAUGCUGGCAACAUGAAUAUAAUUCAAAUCAGUUAAAGCAUCAAAACAAAAAUACAGCCAAUAUAUGAAAUGUUUAUUUUUUGUAAAUUUUCCCUGUCACCUAAAUUAGACACUUAUAAAUUUGGAAAAUCCUUUGUUUAUGUAAGCAGAGAGUGAUUAAUCCAGUUCCAACAAAUUGUGUUGUACUUUGUAUAGAGGAUUAAUGGAUUUUCUUCCUGAGGCUUUCUUUCAAAAAAAUUAACCUGGUUUGCAAGAGGAAAGCUUAUAUAAUGGCAACCAAAAAUACCUGGAAUAUUUCAAAUAUUAAUCUCUAACCCCAAUAGCUUAGUACAGUGCCUGGCAUAUCAUUGGUAUUCAGUAAAUAGUUCUUGAAUUAUUGAGAGGAUGGAAAUUGGGCUUCUUGAACUUUAUUACAUGCAAAUAUGUCAAUUAGCUACAUAAUAUACAAGUUAAUACAUAUUUUUUGUAACUUUUCUUU